rnacentral:lncRNA from 1 species
GUCUUGGUAUAUGGUUAGUUAAGAUUUAAUGAAAAGGUUGCAAGUGAUUGGUGAAAGUAAGAUAAGAUCAAAAUGUGGACGCAACUUGGUUACAAUUUUUAGGUAGUGUUCAUCUAACCUUAUGUGGAAUUUAGGGGGAAAAGCAUCGAAAAUUGAUGAAAAUGUAAAAUAAAGGAAGAGUAUGUGUCACAUUUUCAUGAUCCCUUUUCCCAAGGGGUGAGAGUUAAGGCAGUUCUUCCUCCAUCCUAUAUUAAGUGAGACAGUUGAUUCCUCCGUCUCAACACAGUUGACCAUGUUACACAAAUCAA